GAUGAAGAACGUAGCGAAAUGCGAUAAGUAAUGUGAAUUGCAGAAUUCAGUGAAUCAUCGAAUCUUUGAACGCACAUUGCGCCCGCCAGUAUUCUGGCGGGCAUGCCUGUCCGAGCGUCAUUUCAACCCUCGAACCCCUCCGGGGGGUCGGCGUUGGGGAUCGGCCCUUUACGGGGCCGGCCCCGAAAUACAGUGGCGGUCUCGCCGCAGCCUCUCCUGCGCAGUAGUUUGCACACUCGCAUCGGGAGCGCGGCGCGUCCACAGCCGUUAAACACCCCAAACUUCUGAAAUGUUGACCUCCGAUCAGGUAGGAAUACCCGCUGAACUUAAGCAUAUCAAUAAGCGGAGGA
rnacentral:misc_RNA from 1 species